AUCUCUCUCCAUCCCUCUCACACACCCACUGAACCUGUAGGCCUACUGCGAACCAUCUCUUUAACACCUGCAGAACCUGUAGAUCCACUGCCGCUGACCACCUCUUAGCCACUUUCCAGAUUUCAUAUUAAAGUUUGCUCCAAUCAGUGGGACCUUAGCUAUUGCUGGUAUUCCUAUAAAGCGGGCUAGUUUACAAGAAGUAGCAACCUUGUGAAGAAAGUUGGGUUAUACUUGGUUAAAAUGUCGCAUGCCUUGGGCUACUGGUGAUUUUGAGGGGAGAUACAUUUCAUUGCAAG